AGCUCAAAUUUGAAAUCUGGCGUCCUCAGGGCGUCCGAGUUGUAAUCUAUAGAGGCGUUUUCCGUGCCGGACCGUGUCCAAGUUCCUUGGAACAGGAUAUCAAAGAGGGUGACAAUCCCGUACUUGACACGACGACCGGUGCUCUGUGAUACGUCUUCUACGAGUCGAGUUGUUUGGGAAUGCAGCUCAAAAUGGGUGGUGAGUUCCAUCUAAAGCUAAAUAUUGGCGAGAGACCGAUAGCGAACAAGUACCGUGAGGGAAAGAUGAAAAGCACUUUGGAAAGAGAGUUAAACAGUACGUGAAAUUGUUGAAAGGGAAACGAUUGAAGUCAGUCGUGACCGAGAGGCUCAGCCGGUUCUGCCGGUGUAUUCCCCUCGGUCGGGUCAACAUCAGUUUUGUCCGGUGGAUAAGGGCGGUAGGAAGGUGGCACCCUCGGGUGUGUUAUAGCCUGCCGUCGCAUACAUCGGGUGAGACUGAGGAACGCAGCUCGCCUUUAUGGCCGGGGUUCGCCCACGUCCGAGCUUAGGAUGUUGACAUAAUGGCUUUAAACGACCCGUCUUGAA
rnacentral:rRNA from 1 species